rnacentral:rRNA from 1 species
UAGUAACUGCGAGUGAAGCGGGAAGAGCUCAAAUUUAAAAUCUGGCGGUCUUCUGGCUGUCCGAGUUGUAAUCUGGAGAAGCGUUUUCUGUGUUAGACCGUGUACAAGUCUCCUGGAACGGAGCGUCAUAGAGGGUGAGAAUCCCGUCCAUGACACGGACAACUAAUACUUUGUGAUACGCUCUCGAAGAGUCGAGUUGUUUGGGAAUGCAGCUCAAAAUGGGUGGUAAAUUCCAUCUAAAGCUAAAUACAGGCGAGAGACCGAUAGCGAACAAGUACCGUGAGGGAAAGAUGAAAAGCACCUUUGGAAAGAGAGUUAAACAGUACGUGAAAUUGUUGAAAGGGAAACGCUUGAAGUCAGUCGCGUUGUGCAGAACUCAGCCUUGCCUCGGCUUGGUGUACUUUCUGCACAACGGGUCAACAUCAAUUUUGGCCCAUGGAGAAAGGUGGGGGGAAUGUAGCGCUGUUUCGGCAGCGUGUUAUAGCCCCUCACUGUAUACAUGGGCUGGGAUUGAGGAACGCAGCACGCCCUUGUGGCCGGGGGUUCGCCCCACGUACCGUGCUUAGGAUGUUGGCAGAAUGGCUUUAAGCGACCCGUCUUGAAACACGGACCAAGGAGUCUAACAUGCUUGCGAGUGUUCGGGUGGAAAACCCUUGUGCAUAAUGAAAGUGAAAGUUGGGAACCUCCGCAAGGGGGUGCACCGACGCCCGGCCCUGACGUUCUCUGACGGUGCUGCGGUAGAGCAAGUAUGCUAGGACCCGAAAGAUGGUGAACUAUGCCUGAAUAGGGCGAAGCCAGAGGAAACUCUGGUGGAGGCUCGUAGCGAUUCUGACGUGCAAAUCGAUCGUCAAAUUUGGGUAUAGGGGCGAAAGACUAA